CCCCAGCCCCGAUAGAAGUGGAAAUCCUUUUGUGCCGGCGUUCGUCGCAAAAGAUUGCUUCGCCAGUUCGCAUGCGCUCGGGUGAAACGUAUAGCGGGAAGAGCU
rnacentral:sRNA from 2 species